rnacentral:rRNA from 1 species
CAAUAGCGUAUAUUAAAGUUGUUGCAGUUAAAAAGCUCGUAGUUGGAUUUCUGGUGGGAGCGAUCGGUCUGGCGCUUAGCGCGAGUACUUGCAUCGUCUCCGGCCAUCCUUGGGGAGAGUCUGUCUGGCACUAGGUUGUCGGGCAGAGGAUCCUCAUCGUUUACUGUGAAAAAAUUAGAGUGUUCAAAGCAGGCUUAUGCCGUUGAAUAUAUUAGCAUGGAAUAAUAAGAUAGGACUUUGGUACUAUUUUGUUGGUUUGCGCACCAAAGUAAUGAUUAAUAGGGACAGUUGGGGGUAUUCGUAUUCCGUUGUCAGAGGUGAAAUUCUUGGAUUUACGGAAGACGAACUACUGCGAAAGCAUUUACCAAGGAUGUUUUCAUUAA